rnacentral:rRNA from 1 species
GACGAACGCUGGCGGCGUGCUUAACACAUGCAAGUCGAACGAUGAAGCUGGAGCUUGCUCUGGCGGAUUAGUGGCGAACGGGUGAGUAACACGUGAGAAAUCUGCCCUUGACUCUGGGAUAACUGCGGGAAACUGUAGCUAAUACCGGAUACUUUCCCUGGUGGGCAUCCACUGGGGAAGAAAGAAUUUCGGUCAAGGAUGAUCUCGCGGCCUAUCGACUUGUGGGUGAGGUAAUGGCUGACCAAGGCGACGGCGGGUAGCCGACCGGGGAGGUUAGACGGCCACACUGGGACUGGGACACGGCCCAGACUGCUACGGUAGGCAACAGUGGGGAAUAUUGCAGAAUGGGCGCAAGCCUGAUGCAGCAACGCCGCGUGAGGGAUGAAGGCCUUCGGGUUGUAAACCUCUUUUAGCAGAGAAGAAGCGAAAGUGACGGUACCUGCAGAAAAAGCACCGGCUAACUACGUGCCAGCCGCCGCCGUAA